rnacentral:rRNA from 1 species
UACGGGGGGGGGCAAGCGUUGUUCGGAAUUACUGGGCGUAAAGGGCUCGUAGGUGGCCAACUAAGUCAGACGUGAAAUCCCUCAGCUUAACUGGGGAACUGCGUCUGAUACUGGAUGGCUUGAGUUUGGGAGAGGGACGCGGAAUUCCAGGUGUAGCGGUGAAAUGCGUAGAUAUCUGGAGGAACACCGGUGGCGAAGGCGGCAUCCUGGACCAACACUGACACUGAGGAGCGAAAGCCAGGGGAGCAAACGGG